GAUCUGAGCUACCCGGAGAAUAUAUAUAAUGAAUAGGAGGAGUCCAAGGAUGGAACGUUGGGGAACCCUGCAUGUGAUUUUUGUUAACUCUGACAUAAAGUUACCUACUGACACACAAUAUCACAGUCUGUUGUUCAACCUGCCUGUUACUAACGUUCUCUCACCCUAAGAGGCGCUCAUGGUUCGACCCUCCGCUCUCUCCUCCACCAACAGCGGCAGGUUAGUCAGCAGUUGGAACAGCUCACAGCCUUAAUGCAGUACACUCUGGGAGUUAUGCCCGCCUCACCACCGGAGGGCGCUGAGGCACCUCCUGAGUCCCAGCAACUUCCUCAUAGUCGGGAGGUAGUUUGCCCUAGCCCGGAGAAGUUUUCUGGGGAGGUUGGUAGCUGCCGGGGGUUUCUCUUACAGUGUGCCCUUGUCUUUAAUAGGUCUCCACAGUCAUUUCCCCAUGACAAUGUGAGAAUUUCCUAUGUGUUGGGCCUGCUGACCGGCAGAGCACUGCGGUGGGCUGAGGCUAGGUUUUCAAAUCACAAUAGUUUUGGCUGUUCCUAUGACGAGUUCAUUAAAGAAUUUAGGUUGACGUUUGACAUUGACAUGGACCGAUCUAGUGUGGUUCGCUGUUUGCGAGCGUUAAAGCAGCUCGGCCGGCCCCUGACAGAGUUCACUAUCGAUUUCCGCAUACUGGCAGUUGCGUCGUGUUGGAACUCCAGCGUGCUAAAAUCUACCUUUUUCCAGACUCUAGAUGAGAGUUUGAAAGACGAGCUCUCCCUUCUGGAGGAGCCCGAGGGACUUGAUGAUUACAUAAAUUUGGCCACCCGCCUGGACAACCGGAUGAGGGAGCGGUCCGCUGCUAGACCACAUCUCGUCUCCUCUCCGUUGUCUCUGUCUCAGCCGGUGCAGCCUCCGAGCCAGUCUGAGCCUGAGCCCAUGCAGUUGGGAGGGGCCCAACUUCCUGAUGAUGUGCGGCAGCGCCGCAGGAGGGCUGGGCGAUGCUUUUACUGUGGAUCUGCUGAGCACUUUAUUUCUGUUUGACUGGUCCGCCCAAAAGGGCGGGUCCGCCGGUUUUGAUGGGGGACCCGGCGGACCGACGACCACCCUUGCUCUCCCGCUUCAUUCUACCGGCUACGUUGCUGUUAGAUCAACGUACUAUUCCCUUGUCUGCUUUAUUAGAUUCUGGUUGUGAGCUAGACCUGAUAGAUCAGGAGUUGGUCAGAAGACAACGCAUUAAGACCGAGGUUUUGCCUAUUCUGGCUUUGGAUGGCCAGACUCUCCAUUAUAUUACACACAGAACUGAGCCUGUAGAAUUAGUGUUAUCAGGGAAUCACAGAGAACGCGUUACGUUAUUUGUUUUCCCCAUUUCCCAGGCCUCGUUAGUCCUGGGUUUCCCAUGGCUACAGAACCACAAUCCUCACCUGAAUUGAACUGAAUUAAGAGUCGAAUCCUGGUCACCCCGGUGUUUAUCUACCUGCUUACAAUCAGCUGUUACUCCUAGAAUUUCUGAGGAGAGGGUGGAGGAUGACCUUUCAGACCUCACCCAGGUGCCGCAUGAAUACCAUUACCUUAGCCCCGUUUUUAGUAAGACACGGGCCCUUUCUCUACCACCUCACCGCCCCUAUGAUUGCGCAAUCGAUCUUCUGCCAGGCGCCCCAUUGCCCCCAUUGAGAAAUAUAUUGGGGAAUCGCUCGCAGCCGGCAUCAUUCGGCCAUCCUCGUCCCCGCUCGGUGCGGGUUUUUUCUUUGUUGAUAAGAAAGAUGGCUCCCUACGCCCUUGCAUCGAUUAUAGGGGGUUUAAUGCAAUUAAAAAUAGGUACCCAUUACUUCUUCUCUCAGCGGCUUUUGAGCCUGUUCAUGGGGCUACUAUCUUUACCAAGCUCGACCUUAGAAACGCAUAUCAUUUAGUUAGGAUCCGCCGGGGGGAUGAAUGGAAGACAGCGUUCAAGACACCUCUCGGGCACUUUGAAUAUUUAGUGAUGCCGUUUGGACUGUGCAACGCACCUGCAGUUUUUCAGACUCUUGUAAAUGACGUCUUAAGAGAUUUUUUGGAUGUAUUUGUUUUUGUAUAUCUAGAUGACAUCUUGAUUUUUUCUAAGACUGUUGAAGAGCACCGCCGUCAUGUACGCUUGGUUCUGCAGCACCUCCUGGAGAACCAACUAUUCGUUAAGGCGGAGAAGUGCCACUUUCAUCAAACUUCCAUCAGCUUUUUAGGUUUUAUCCUUGAAGGUGGACAGGUUCGCUCUGAUCCGGACAAGGUGAAGGCUGUGGAGAACUGGCCAACCCCAACCUGUCGAAAGCAGUUGCAGCGUUUUUUGUGGUUCGCUAAUUUUUAUAGGAGGUUUAUCCAGAACUACAGCCGCAUCGCCAGUCCUCUGACAGCAUUAACAUCCGUCAGAGUACCCAUCACCUGGUCUCCCGAAGCUGAAGCAACUUUCAGCCUGUUAAAAGAGAGGUUCGCUCAAGCGCCGGUGCUCAUUCAUCCUGAUUCCAGAGUGCAAUUCACCUUGGAGGUGGAUGCUUCUGACACUGGGGUGGGAGCGGUGCUCUCCCAGCGUCAGAGCCAGGACGGCAGGCUUCAUCCCUGUGCCUUUUUCUCCCGUCACCUGGGGCCUGCAGAGAUAAAUUAUGAUGUUGGGGACAAAGAACUGCUGGCCAUUAAACUCGCCUUGGAGGAGUGGCGGCAUUGGCUGGAGGGGUCUGAGUUACCUGUGCUGGUUUGGACCGAUCAUAAAAACCUGUCAUAUAUUCAGUCAGCCAAACGUUUAAAUCCCCGUCAGUCAUGUUGGUCUCUUUUUUUUUCUCGAUUUAACCUGUUAAUUUCUUACACACCUGGCACUAAGAACGUUAAGCCCGAUGCUCUGUCUCGGCAAUUCACCUCGGAUGACACUGAGAAAGAAGCCGCACCCAUCCUGCCCCCAAGCUGCACCGUAGGAGCUGUAACUUGGGAGAUAGAGGACUGCGUGCGUCAGGCCCUCCUUGCUGACCCGGGCCCGAGGACCGGUCCGCCUAACCGCAUGUUCGUUCCUGCAGCAGUUCGGGGCCGGUUGAUUGCCUGGUUCCACUCUUCAAGAGUUGCCAUUCACCCGGGGGCCAGUUGAACUAUCGCAGCUGUUGCCAGGCGAUUCUGGUGGCCCACACUGCAUCGUGAUGUCAAAGAAUUUGUAUCUGCCUGCCCAGUAUGUGCACGGAACAAGACGUCGAGCCAACCACCCGCGGGCCUCCUGCAACCGCUAGCUGUACCUCUCCACCCUUGGUCCCACAUUGCAGUAGACUUCGUCACAGGAUUACCAUCUUUUUGCGGUAUGACAACCAUUAUGACUAUUGUGGACAGGUUUUCUAAAGCCUGUCAUCUGAUUCCUCUUAGGAGAUUGCCAUCAGCCCUCCAGACCGCACAGCUCUUGGUAAAACAUGUAUUCCGGCUCCAUGGAAUACCCCAGGACAUAAUGUCGGAUCGGGGACCCCAGUUCACCGCCCGGCUAUGGAAGGAGUUCUGCACGGCUCUGGGGGCGAAGGUUUCUCUGACUUCCGGUUUCCACCCUCAAACCAACGGGCAGGUAGAGAGGCUCAACCAAGAGUUGGAGGCAGCGCUCCGUUGUGUUGCAUCCUCUGAUCCCGUCGAGUGGAGCACCCACCUGUCUUGGGUCGAGUACUCGCAUAACUCGCACAUCUCAACAGCAACUGGAUUUACCCCGUUUGAGGUCUCCCUGGGUUAUCAACCCCCCCUGUUUCCGUCCGAUGAGGGGGAAAUCACUGUGACGUCUGCGCGUCAACACAUCCGCAGGAGCAAGCGCAUCUGGACCGCAGCUACAAAGGCGCUGCAUCGGACGGCAGCUCAGAACAAGCGUUACGCCGACAGGCGCCGUGUCUCGGCCCCGACCUACCAUCCGGGUCAGCAGAUGUGGCUCUCCACACGGGACGUCCCUCUCAAGUCCCUCUCCCGAAAACUAUCUCCCAGGUUCAUCGGUCCUUACUCCAUCGAGUCCCUGGUUGGGCCAGCCUCAGUUCGACUUCGUUUGCCUGCCAGUUUCCAGAUUGAGCCGGUUUUUCACGUCUCCCAAAUUAAGCCGGUCCAGACCAGCACACUUUGCCCUCCAGCUGUGCCUCCGCCACCGCCCCGGGAUUUCCAGGGCCACCCAACCUAUUCAGUCCGCCGGAUCGUGGACUCCCGUCGACGGGGCCGAGGAUGGCAGUACCUCGUUGACUGGGAGGGAUACGGUCCGGAGGAUCGCUCCUGGGUUCCGCGAUCCUUCAUCCUGGACCCGACGCUCGUCCGGGACUACUGGGACUCCCAGCCCGGAUCUUCAAGACCGCUGAGUGGCGGUCGUUGAGGGGGAGGUAGUGUCACAGUCUGUUGUUCAACCUGCCUGUUACUAACGUUCUCUCACCCUAAGAGGCGCUGGAGCUGCAGACCGGAGUGUUGACAGGUGUACGUCAUUGCUUCAUCAGCUGGAGGACUAUAUGAGGGUGGUAGUGUUUACCUGGUCAUUAUCUGCUGAAUUCUGGAAGCUCCACUUGUUUUUUUGAGCCUUGAUUAAUUGUCCGUCUUGUUUCCUUCGUCAUAGGCUGUUCACGCCAAGCUGGGGUUUCCUCCUGAACCCACCUCCUGUCAAGACUGGAAUCUGCUGCUGCCCUUGCGAGUCCUCCAGCUGGAAGCGCAACCUGUCCACCACUUUGUUACCUGGAACAUCAGAUCGCUCCAAUCGUUUCCGUGCAGGCACUACCACAGACUUGAACCGGUUUCUCCCCCUGGCGGAUCGAUCGCCUUCCGGAAAAUGCUCCGAGCGUGUCAGAGGGCAGAGAUGCUGGAGUGACGCUGGGUCAGAGAGGAGUGCUCGAGUGUGAAGCUGAUGCAGUGCCUGAGGCAGAUUUUGAGUGGUAUAAAGACAACAG